AUUGAACGCUGGCGGCAUGCCUUACACGUGCAAGUCGAACGGUAACAGGUCUUCGGAUGCUGACGAGUGGCGAACGGGUGAGUAAUACAUCGGAACGUGCCCGAUCGUGGGGGAUAACGAAGCGAAAGCUUUGCUAAUACCGCAUAAGAUCUACGGAUGAAAGCAGGGGACCGCAAGGCCUUGCGCGAACGGAGCGGCCGAUGGCAGAUUAGGUAGUUGGUGUGAUAAAAGCUUACCAAGCCGACGAUCUGUAGCUGGUCUGAGAGGACGACCAGGCACACUGGGACUGAGACACGGCCCAGACUCCUACGGGAGGCAGCAGUGGGGAAUUUUGGAUAAUGGGCGAUAGCCUGAUCCAGCCAUGCCGCGUGCAGGAUGAAGGCCUUCGGGUUGUAAACUGCUUUUGUACGGAACGAAAAGACUCUUUCUAAUAAAGAGGGUCCAUGACGGUACCGUAAGAAUAAGCUCCGGCUAACUACGUGCCAGCCGCCGCCGUAAAAC
rnacentral:rRNA from 1 species